rnacentral:rRNA from 1 species
CCUACGUGAGGCAGCAGUGGGGAAUAUUGGGUAAUGGACGCAAGUCUGACCCAGCAACGCCGCGUGAAGGAAGAAGGCUUUCGGGUUGUACACUUCUUUUAAGGGGGAAGAGCAGAAGACGGUACCCCUUGAAUAAGCCACGGCUAACUACGUGCCAGCAGCCGCGGUAAUACGUAGGUGGCAAGCGUUGUCCGGAUUUACUGGGUGUAAAGGGCGUGCAGCCGGAGAGACAAGUCAGAUGUGAAAUCCGCAGGCUCAACCUGCGAACUGCAUUUGAAACUGUUUCCCUUGAGUAUCGGAGAGGUCAUCGGAAUUCCUAGUGUAGCGGUGAAAUGCGUAGAUAUUAGGAAGAACACCAGUGGCGAAGGCGGCCUGCUGGACGAUGACUGACGUUGAGGCUCGAAAGCGUGGGGAGCAAACAGGAUUAGAUACCCUAGUAGUC